AAUCAACGCUGGCGGCGUGCCUCAGACAUGCAAGUCGAACGAUUAAGACUCUCUUCGGAGAGUGUAAAAAGUGGCGCACGGGUGAGUAACACGUAGGUAAUGUGCCUUUGGGUGGGGAAUAACUUAGGGAAACUUAAGCUAAUACCGCAUAAUGCAGCGGCUCGACAUCGAGACAGUUGUUAAAGAUUUAUCGCCUAAAGAGCAGCCUGCGGCAGAUUAGCUAGUUGGUAAGGUAAUGGCUUACCAAGGCGACGAUCUGUAUCCGACCUGAGAGGGUGGUCGGACACACUGACACUGAAUAACGGGUCAGACUCCUACGGGAGGCAGCAGUCGGGAAUUUUGGGCAAUGGGCGAAAGCCUGACCCAGCAACGCCGCGUGAAGGAUGAAGUAUCUCGGUAUGUAAACUUCGUAAGAAUAGGAAGAAUAAAUGACGGUACUAUUUGUAAGGUCCGGCUAACUACGUGCCAGCCGCCGCCGUAACAC
rnacentral:rRNA from 1 species